UACAGAGGUCUCAAGCGUUGUUCGGAAUUACUGGGCGUAAAGGGCUCGUAGGUGGCCAACUAAGUCAGACGUGAAAUCCCUCGGCUUAACCGGGGAACUGCGUCUGAUACUGGAUGGCUAGAGAUUGGGAGAGGGAUGCGGAAUUCCAGGUGUAGCGGUGAAAUGCGUAGAUAUCGGGAGGAACAUCAGUGGCGAAGGCGGCUGCCUGGCCCAAUACUGACACUCAGGUGCGACAGCGUGGGGAGCAAACAGG
rnacentral:rRNA from 1 species